rnacentral:rRNA from 1 species
AACAGGAUUAGAUACCCUGGUAGUCCACGCCGUAAACGAUGUCGACUUGGAGGUUGUGCCCUUGAGGCGUGGCUUCCGGAGCUAACGCGUUAAGUCGACCGCCUGGGGAGUACGGCCGCAAGGUUAAAACUCAAAUGAAUUGACGGGGGCCCGCACAAGCGGUGGAGCAUGUGGUUUAAUUCGAUGCAACGCGAAGAACCUUACCUGGUCUUGACAUCCACGGAAGUUUUCAGAGAUGAGAAUGUGCCUUCGGGAACCGUGAGACAGGUGCUGCAUGGCUGUCGUCAGCUCGUGUUGUGAAUGUUGGGUUAAGUCCCGCAACGAGCGCAACCCUUAUCCUUUGUUGCCAGCGGUCCGGCCGGGAACUCAAAGGAGACUGCCAGUGAUAAACUGGAGGAAGGUGGGGAUGACGUCAAGUCAUCAUGGCCCUUACGACCAGGGCUACACACGUGCUACAAUGGCGCAUACAAAGAGAAGCGACCUCGCGAGAGCAAGCGGGCCUCAUAAAGUGCGUCGUAGUCCGGAUUGGAGUCUGCAACUCGACCCCAUGAAGUCGGAAUCGCUAGUAAUCGUGGAUCAGAAUGCCACGGUGAAUACGCUCCCGGGCCUUGUACACACCGCCCGUCACACCAUGGGAGUGGGUUGCAAAAGAAGUAGGUAGCUUAACCUUCGGGAGGGCGCUUACCACUUUGUGAUUCAUGACUGGGGUGAAGUCGUAACAAGGUAACC